UCCGGGGCCGGGUGUAGUUAUCAUGGUUAUUCUGCACUGCAGCCUUGUGCAGGUGAGUUGUUACAACAUCUCCCCCCAACUGGCCCAAGUCUGUUUGUAACAGUAGCUACCGUAGCUCAUUCGGAAGAGUGUCUCAUCCUGGCAGAAGUCUAUUUCCUUCUGUCGAAUUAUUUUAGUAGUGAAGUCAUGAAUUCAGGAGGGCUAGGUGAAUUCUUGGACGAAUGCUACUUUCAGACAUCAGUAGUGGCAGGCGGAAAUGUUUUGUUUGCAUUGCUGCGAAGUAAUAAUUAUUAUUAGUUGCUUAGUGCAGGAGUACGAGUACAUGCACUCAGAGUGCAGAGGAACGGUGCAACCUGAGACUGUGAUUCCAGAUUCGAUGGCUUUUGUAGACUUACGAUUACACUCUGCAGCGAAUCGCCUCCUUGUUCCUCGAAUAUGACAGGAUGGCUGGGGCAGAGUUAUGCAUUUGGACUCCCGGACGGAUACCAUUGAUGCUGCCGAUCCUUUGUCUGCACCUUUUUCCUUGCUCACUGACUGCACUGUGGUGAGCCCAUAAGUACUGUUGUGGACAUUGAAAUCCGGUGAAAUGACCGGGGCGGGCGCCCUGACUGCCUUAGCUCAUACAUGCACUGUAUUUCACGUACAAAACUGAAAAAAUGGACCAGCAGUGCCCAGAGCUGCAAGGUCAGCUCCCAGUGGCCGCUUGAGUGACGUCUAAACGGAUUUCAAUGUACACGACAGUAGGACAAUUUUCAAGUCUACCCAAAGUCUUGGGACUGCAGGGCGUGUCAGCCAUUGGGCAGUUCCAUAGUCAAUUCAGUCAUCUUUCCAAGGUGUCUGUUGAAUCUCUCUCCCCUGUGUCGUGACCAAUUAAUGGCGAUGAGCAAGGAAGAGUGUGUGUAAGAAAAAAAAGUUUCCGUGUGGGGUAGGGUGUGUGUGUGUGCGUUUGUGCGUGUGUGUGCUUGUGUGUACAUGCAUGCGUUUUGAUGCGAUGAGUGUACCGAUCCACGCCCAUCACCACCGAUAAACUAUUAAUUGAUUGAAAGUGUGCUGUAGCUUCCUUGCUUGACAUCACACUUAAUGCAUUGAAUGAGGGGCUAUGCAGCAAGCUUAAAAUGUAGGCGUGCAAUCAUAAGGCUUGAGGAGGUUGUUCGCCCCUGAUGCAAUGGUGUGUAUUCAGUUACAUCUCAUCAAUGGUCCAACUGCUGAUCUCCUGAAGUAGCAAUGAAUGGUAACACGGUACAGGUUUACAGGCUAAUAUUGUAUCUUCAUCCCAGUGAAAUAUCCCGUGUGCCCACAAGUAACUGACAUGCUAAAUUGAUACCGUGCAAGUUCUGGUGGUGCUGUUGAUUGUGUUUAAGCUGGUGGUUUACUUUCAGUUGAUGGCAUAGGUCUGGACUAUUUUCAUGCACAUUGUGGCCACGGAGUUCAUCCACAGAACACUUGUGCCCACCGCACUCAGGGAUAGAGCUGCAGCUCCGAUGGCGGUAGGAGGUGAGAGCAACAGUGCAAAGGCGAUUGAUGGAUGGAGAAACAAUCCGGAAAAUUCUACCGGAGAAGAAAUUUAAAGCCAUUUCCAUCCCAAUGUUAUUUUUCUUAGUCUAUGUGAAUUAUCUGACGGGCAUAUUGCCUGUAGCGGUGUGAAUCAAAUAUCUGAGGUUGUAAGCUCCCCGAGAUCUCCUGUGAACACUAGGCAUAUUCACAAGAUCUGAUCUCAUGAAACAACAACGUUUUAUUAUGUUGGUAAUAUGGAGACUAUAACCCCACCCUUCUAUAAUUUGCCUGCCACAAAUUACCUAUUGGCUGACUGGAAGCUUACACAAGUGCAGCUAUUCUUGGUCCAGUUUGCCCAGAUAGCUUUAGGUUCAGUUUAGCUUUAGGUUCAGUUUCACCCACCCCCAUAAUUUGUUUUUCAUGUAUGCUACGCCCAUCUUUUAGCUGUUUGACUGGAAUGCAUGAAGUACUGUCCCAGUGAAGCUUCCCUCUGCAACCUGUGUACUCAAACGUGUGAGCAGUAAAUACCUAUAAUCUUGGCAUUGCGUAUUGGUAGACUGUAAGACAGGACUGUCUGCGAAGCUGGUCUCAGAAUCCUGUCAGUGUAGAAUCCAGCCAAACUAAGUUUUUAUAGAAGAUUUUUUGUUUUACUUAUCCGUCCCAAAUCCAAACCACGACCACCAUCCCCACUCAGAUUAAUUGCCUUUAUUAGACUGUCCUGGAACAGUGGAUUGCACGACUGGUAUUCAUAUCUGGGAACCAGUAUCAGCCGAUAAAGUCAUUCACAUCCAGCUGUGUCUAUCGCCUACAGUUCCAAAGAAGUUCGGUGGCUCUGGUGGGGAGAACUGCAGUAU